rnacentral:rRNA from 1 species
UAGGGAAUCUUCCACAAUGGGCGCAAGCCUGAUGGAGCAACGCCGCGUGAAUGAAGAAGGUCUUCGGAUCGUAAAAUUCUGUUGUUAGAGAAGAAUAUGAGUAAUAGUAACUGAUUAUUCACUGACGGUAUCUAACCAGCAAGUCACGGCUAACUACGUGCCAGCAGCCGCGGUAAUACGUAGGUGGCAAGCGUUGUCCGGAUUUAUUGGGCGUAAAGGGAACGCAGGCGGUUUUUUAAGUCUGAUGUGAAAGCCUUCGGCUUAACCGGAGAUGUGCAUUGGAAACUGGAAGACUUGAGUGCAGAAGAGGAGAGUGGAACUCCAUGUGUAGCGGUGAAAUGCGUAGAUAUAUGGAAGAACACCAGUGGCGAAAGCGGCUCUCUGGUCUGUAACUGACGCUGAGGUUCGAAAGCAUGGGUAGCGAAC